GUGGCUCAGUGGUUGAGCACUUGCCUCGCAUGCAUGAGGCCCUGGGUUCAAUUCCUCAGC
rnacentral:tRNA from 1 species